GUUAGCCGUCGAGCACAUGAAAACUCCGCAGUUAAGCGUGCUCGGGUGGGAGUAGUGCUAGGAUGGGUGACCUCCUAGGAAGUCUCCAUCGGGGCAACCA
rnacentral:rRNA from 2 species